UCUGAGACUGUGGAGGCAUUAGUUUGUACCAAAGACUGGAAUCUUGCAUCUAACAAAGAUCGCAAUGACAAGGUACCGUCAAUUGUUGAGGAGUUCAUGGCAGAUGAAAAUGAAUAUAGCUCGGCAAUUGAAGAGGGACAGAACCAAGCUGACAAUGAAGGAAAUGGUGAGGAUAGUGAGGAUGAGGGCAGCGAUAUGGAGUUAUGAUUUUUCUGCAGCUGUUCAUGGGAGUCUGUUUCACAAGUUUCAGUGCUCCGAAGCCUAAGAUGAUGCUUAAAUCUUGGUUUUCGACAUUUUGGCGCUAGCUGGUAGCUGCUACACUUAAUCCUUAAUGUAGUAAUGACAAUGUAGUUCUAGUUUGGAGAGGUAUGUACUAUUGUGACAUUUUGGCGCUAGCUGGUAGCUGCUACGACAUUUUGGCUGCUAGCUGGUAGCUGGUAGCUAGUUCUAUUGUGAUAUGUACGCAGUACAGUACUUAGCAUUUAGCAAUGCUGAUGGCUCACGCUCAUGACUGCUUGCCUAUUUACUUAGCUUUAUCUGUCUAUUAGCCUGAUCGGUUGUGACAUUUGAAUCUGGAUGCUAUAUAUGAAUGAAUGAUGUGUCUUUAUAUCCGA